rnacentral:rRNA from 1 species
UACGUAGGGGGCAAGCGUUGUCCGGAGUUAUUGGGCGUAAAGAGCGUGUAGGCGGCCAGGUAGGUCAGCUGUGAAAACUCGAGGCUCAACCUCGAGACGCCGGUUGAAACCAUCUGGCUAGAGUCCGGAAGAGGAGAGUGGAAUUCCUGGUGUAGCGGUGGAAUGCGCAGAUAUCAGGAGGAACACCAAUAGCGAAGGCAGCUCGCUGGGACGUUACUGACACUGAGGCGCGAAAGCGUGGGGAGCGAACAGG